GUGGGAGGCCACUCACUAUCUGCGUCCUUCGCAGCAGGGAUUUGGCCUGGCGCUGCUUGUACCCCAAGAUCUGGUUGCCUCAAGACAAGCAAAUCCUCACAUAUACCAGUUUAUAUUGAAUAACGCCUCACCCUCAACCCCACUCCUGUUUAUCCCUGAUUGGUUAAUGAAGGUGCCUUCAGCCAGCAGCUGGGCAGAAGAGAGUUUCAGAUAGACCAGGAGGAUGAAGAAACUGGAGCCAUGAGAAAGGGAUCUGGAGCGAGAUCACAGAAACACACCUGAAGCCCAAAGAACACGACAAUAAGAAUUAGGGUCAUGGAUGGAGGUAUUCAGACUACCUUUGAGGUUAACAGAUUGUUUAACUACUCAGCCAGAGAGGUGCUGCUUGAACUAAAGCUUGGUUUCUCUGUGUGCUUUCCGGAGACUAGCGUAAGAUAAAAGAAAUACGGCUGCUGGGCUAAUUGAACAUUUAUAUUAAAAAUAAUUCACUUUAUACAUCCCUGUUUGAAGUUCUUACUCCUGCUGAUUUGGGCCAACGCAUCAUUAUCUGGGCUUUAGUUUCAUUCUAUGGUUUGACAAGUUUUUAGGUCUUGUUGAAAUCUCCCCUGAAGACAAGUUCCCCUUCAGGCUGGUGCCCUUUCCUUCUUCCAGCAUGAGAUUCCUGGAGAAAUUCGCAUUUCUUCCAGAUCUAUUGUUUGGAGCUGGAAAGUUGGCUCAGCGGUUAAGAGCACUG
rnacentral:sRNA from 1 species